rnacentral:tRNA from 1 species
GCACCCGUAGCUCAGCUGGAUAGAGCGCUGCCCUCCGAAGGCAGAGGUCACAGGUUCGAAUCCUGUCUGGUGCGCCA